rnacentral:rRNA from 1 species
CCUACGGGAGACAGCAGUGGGGAAUAUUGCACAAUGGGGGAAACCCUGAUGCAGCAACGCCGCGUGAAGGAAGACGGUUGUCGGAUUGUAAACUUCUGUUAUUAGGGAAGAAGAAUGACGGUAGCGAAGGAGCAAGCCACGGCUAACUACGUGCCAGCAGCCGCGGGAAUACGUAGGUGGCAAGCGUUGCCCGGAAUUACUGGGUGGAAAGGGAGCGCAGGCGGGACGCCAAGUCAGAUGUGAAAACUACGGGCUUAACUUGUAGACUGCAGUUGAAACUGGUUUUCUUGAGUGAAGUGGAUGUUGGCGGCAUUCCUCGUGUAGCGGUGCAAUGCGUCGCUAUUCGGAGGAACACCGGUGGCGAAGGCGGCCCACUGGUCUUUAACUGCCGCUGAGGCUCG